UGUGGUGCGAUGAUUAUAAAAAUUCCUCAUUCAAUGUCAAGCGCCAUGGCAUGAUAGACUCCUUAACACCCAUAGAAUAUGAGCACCA